CCUACGGGAGGCAGCAGUAGGGAAUAUUGGACAAUGGAGGAACUCUGAUCCAGCCAUGCCGCGUGAGUGAUGAAGGCCUUAGGGUUGUAAAGCUCUUUUACCUGGGAAGAUAAUGACUGUACCAGGAGAAUAAGCCCCGGCUAACUUCGUGCCAGCAGCCGCGGUAAUACGAAGGGGGCUAGCGUUGUUCGGAAUCACUGGGCGUAAAGCGUUUGUAGGCGGACUUUUAAGUCAGGGGUGAAAUCCCAGAGCUCAACUCUGGAACUGCCUUUGAUACUGGAAGUCUUGAGUAUGGAAGAGGUUGGUGGAACUGCUAGUGUAGAGGUGAAAUUCGUAGAUAUUAGCAAGAACACCAGUGGCGAAGGCGGCCAACUGGUCCAUCACUGACGCUGAGAAACGAAAGCGUGGGUAGCAAACAGGAUUAGAUACCCUGGUAGUCCACGCCGUAAACUAUGAGAGCUAGUCGUUGGUCUGUUUACAGAUCAGUGACGCAGAUAACUCGAUAAGCUCUCCGCCUGGGGAGUACGGUCGCAAGAUUAAAACUCAAAUGAAUUGACGG
rnacentral:rRNA from 1 species